GACGAACGCUGGCGGCGUGCUUAACACAUGCAAGUCGAACGGGAGUAUUGAAGAAGCUUGCUUUAGAGAUACUUUAGUGGCGGACGGGUGAGUAACGCGUGAGGAGCUGUCCUAUGCAGGGGGACAACAGUUGGAAACGACUGCUAAUACCCAUAAGCCGAGAGGUAAAAGGAGCGAUCCGGCAGAGGAGGUACUCGCGUCCUAUCAGCUAGUAGGUGAGGUAACGGCUCACCUAGGCGAAGACGGGUAGCCGGCCUGAGAGGGCGAACGGCCACACUGGAACUGAGAUACGGUCCAGACUCCUACGGGAGGCAGCAGUGGGGAAUAUUGGGCAAUGGGGGCGAACCCUGACCCAGCGACGCCGCGUGGGUGAAGAAAU
rnacentral:rRNA from 1 species